AGCCAUUGUUACAGCACUGAGAAGGUAUCCUUAGACAGGUGGACCUGUGUGAAAUAAAGGAGGUACAUUUCUCUUGGAGGAGCGGAUUGUAUUUUCAAAUGUACUUUAGAACCUAGGAUGCCUUGUGCAGUAAUAACCAAAGCCUUAGAAGUUUAGCCUCUUUGAGAAAUUCACAAUUGGAUCACAGUUCACUGCAGCUCAGUAGGAAGAAAUUAGUAUUUCUGAGACUACAUAGAUCACCAGUUUUCUCUUGAGGAUGACCAUUUUCCCAGAACUAAUUGAAUCUGACUCCUUCCUCUGUGCAGCUUCAUCAGGAAAUAUGGUUUUGCUCAAUGUAGCAGUGUCAACUUAGUAACUGGACAACUCAUGUGCUAACAAUGCUGGACAGUUUUCUUUAAAUUUAUAAUUUAUGCUGCAAUGGCUCUUUUUCUUUAUUGUAUUGGCUUUGAUGGAGUAACACGUCAAAAUGGCUAAAGGGUACAAGCAACUAAUGUAAAUUAUUAGUGAAAUGCUACACAUAAAAGACAUUAAACAUUCAACAUUGUGGUUUGUAAACAGUAGGCAGGGAGUUAUAACAAAAAGCCCAUUUGUAGGCAAAUAUUUAGUUUUGACUUCUUCAAAGUUUUAUGAAGAUGAGAGACAAUCCUAAACCCCAGAGGAGGGAGCUUAUAAGAACGAAGUUGACAAUGAGCCACAUGGAAACAAAUUCAUGAAGAGGCCACAGACCUAGAAAGAGCUGGAAACAUUGACCAGGCAACAAAGAAGACCAAACCAGGAGAAUGAGGCCAAAGCCUUCCUAGUGCAUGAAAAUGACAAGGAUUUGCUGAUUAUUUAGCCUCAAAAACUGCACAGAAACAACCAAUUGCUGGGCCAUGGAUCCUGAAUCUGAUCAUCCAUGAAGAAGGUGUGAGUAGGCCUCAGGCACAUGGGCUCCAGAAGUGACAACUAAAUAGCAGGAUCCUGGGACGAAAACUUACAACAGAAAAUUACCUGUGAUGCCACUUUUCAUGAAAAACCAAUAGAAGUGAACGACUGAUUGUUGUGGACCAAGAAGUAUAGGGAACAUACAAGCAGCUCUUCAGCAUUAAGAAUGUGAUGGGAGAGAUUCAGGUAGAUUUGAACUGCCAUCAUCAAUCAAGACCAAGGAGAAGGCUGCUUUCCAGGAUGUACACAUGGCCUCUGUUUGCUGUUGCUGUUUUGCUUCUUUUAAGAGGUGAACCAAUAUAUGUAUGUCUGUUUCUACUGUCACUUGCAGCUCAACAGAACCCUGUAAUAUACAUGAACAAGUUUCUGGAAGUUAAGAGGAAAUUCCACUGAAACAAAAUAGAACAUACCUUUAUGUUCUAUUGAGAGAGUGUGGAAGAAGAAAAUUCUGUAUUGGUUUUGACUAACAACAAGCUGCCGGAAGAUCUCUUUUUCUCCUACAGGUUAAUAAGGAGAAAAUUGAAAUUAGAAGCAUAAAGCAUUUUGUCAAGAUAUAACUAUGAAGAUAUUUUCAUUACUAAAUAUACAAAUAGGCCAGUUGCAGUGGCUCACACCUGUAAUCCCGGCAUUUUGGGGGACCGAGGCAGGCAGAUCGCCUGAAGUCAGGAGUUCGAGACCAGCCUGGCCAUCAUGGAGAAACUCCAUCUCUACUAAAAAUACAAAAUUAGCCGUGUGUAGUGACACAUGCCUGUAAUCCCAGCUACUUGGGAGGCUGAGGCAGGAGAAUCGCUUGAACUCAGGAGGCAGAGGUUGCUGUCAGCCAAUAUUGCACCACUGCACUCCAACCUGGGCAAUAAGAGCAAAACUCCAUCUCAAAAAAUAAGUAAAUAAAUAAAUAAUAAUAUAUAUACAUUUUCAUACACAUAUACUUGUCUAAAUAUGGCAUAUAAAUCUAAAUAAAUAAAUGGAUAUAUCCAUCUCCUUGUGUAUAAUUCAUAUUUAUAUUAAUAUAUACUCAUUCUCUUAUGUAAGCCCUUCCCCUUGAUUAUUGGUGUGACCUGUGACUUACUUCUGUCCAACAAAAUGCAGUAAAGAUGAUGGGAUAUAUGCAAUUACAUGCACAUGAUUAUAUGACUGUUGUAAAAGAUUGUAGCACUUGUCAUGCUGGAGUCUUUCUUUCCCUUACUGACUUUGAGGAAGAAACACUUUGCAUAGCAAGGAACUAUGGGUGGCCUCCAAGAGUGGUUUCCAGCAGUCAGCAAGAAAUUGAAAUCCUCAGUUUAACAACCAAAAGGAAAUGAAUUCUGCCAUCAACUUGCAUGAAUUGUGAAACAAAUUCUUCCCCAGUAAAACCUCAGAUGAGAUCACAACCCAGCUGACAUGUUGGUUGCAAUAAAUACAUUGCAAUCAAUGAUUUGGAUUGCAGCAUAAAACUAAGGUGUAUCUAGUCUCCUGACACAUAGAAACUGUGAGAUAGUAAAUGUACAUGGUUUUAAGCUGCUAAUUUUUUGGUAAUAUUGUUAUGCAGCAGUAGAUAACUCAUACAAAUUUUAGUACAUGGAAGUCUGAUGCUGCUAUAACAAACACCGAAAAAUUUUGGGAGUUGUUUUCGAACCAGGCACUGGAUGCAGGCUGAAAUAAAUUUUUGAAGAACAUGAUAGAGAAAACUUAAAUGUCCUCAAACACACCGUUAGUAGAAAUACAUGGAAAGAGUGCUGUCAGUGAGGGCAGUUCAAAUAUUUUAAGUGUCUUGUGAUAUGUCCUUUGACCAUGGAUUAUUUAGAAGUAUUUAGAUUAUUUAGAAGUAUUUCUAAAAACUUGGAAAUUAUUCAUUUUUUGCUUAUUUAUUUUUAAUUUAUUACUUUUUGGUCACAAACAUCCUCUGUAUGAUUCAUGUUGUUUGAAAGACAUUUUUCUAUUCCUACCACCUGAGAUUACAACUUGAUAUUUGUCCUCUUCUGGCUUAUAUUGCUAUGUACUUAAGUUCAUUGUUCUUUUAUUCUGCCUUGUUUAAUUUGAUGUCAGUUUCAUCCAGUUAGUUUUUCAUUUUGAUAUUGUAAUUUUUUUAGUUUAGGAAGUUCCAUUGAUUUUUUUCCCUAUCUUCCUUUUCUAUUCUUCUAAUUUUCUUGUUUAAAUUCUUAAGCACUUUCGUAAUAGUUGUUUUAUUCCCCCUUUCUGCUAAUCUUAUCAUUUCUGUCAUUUCUUGAUCUCUUUCUGUUAAUUGAUUUUUAUCUUGAUUACAGGCCACCUUUUUUCUAUUUCUUCUUUCGUAUAGUAAUCAUUGAUUGAAUGGCUGAUAUUUUACCAUAUUGAUUGAAUUUUACUCUCUUCCUUAUUCCGUUUCCAGGGGUAGUUAAGUAACUUAUAAAUAUUAUUGAUCUAAUCAAGGUUUAAUUUUAGGCCUUCCAAGGGCAGAACUAGAUUAAUCUUUGAAGUAGGUCUAAGUUAACACUGCUACCAAGAUUUGAAUUUUCUGGGGUCUCUGAGGCAUUGGAAUCUUUCCACUGUGUCUGCUCUGAAGUCAAAUAUCUCCCAGCCAUGCAUUUAUUCUAGGAAUUGUUUAUGUUCAUCUGCUUCACAGUUCAGCAUUGUAGAAUCACAUUCUGUGUAUUUAUUUGCAUUAAUAUGUUCAGCAACAGACAUGAGGAGACCCCUAUUCAGGUUUUCUACCCUCCUGCCUGACACUCUCUCUCAUAACUUUCACCUUCUCAUACAACAUUCUUUGUCUUCCCAACAGAAUAAGAUGAUUUAGGUUAUACUGCUCUACUUAAGUUUCAUCUCUUUGUGCCAUGGUCCAUUUAGUGUCUUCAGGCACAAAGCUGAGGUGAUUAUGGGUAUCAUCCUUUUUGUUUUUCUUCUCACAGAUAUCACAAUUCUGUGCAGCUCAUUUUUUCAAUAUUCAAAAUUGAUUUCCCCCACUUUUCUAGUUGUUUCAGCAGUAUGUCAAGUUCGCUAACACUCAUUUCAAAAUUGUAUGGCCGGAAGUGGAAAUUCCUCAUUCUUUAUAUAUUGACAUAUUUACUCUUCAAACUGAGUGGUUAACUAUCUUGCCAAAUGUCACUGUGCAAGGAUUUGAACAUAGUAUGCCAGAUUCAGAAUCUAUGCAAUUAACCAUUAUAGCAAAGUGUGUACAAUAAAUUAUAAAUGGUGCUUUGUAGCCUAAGUAGAAAACACAAUGAAGGGAGUGGCAGGAGAUGAGGUUGGAGAGUUAUGUAGGAGCAGCCACAUUAAAGACAGUACUGCGGGCAGUGUUAAAGAGUUUGGUCUGCUUCCUAUAGGCCACCAAAAGCUACAGGAUAAUUUGCAGGAAAGAGCAACUUUGUCAGACUUUUUCUUUAGGUAUUAUUCUGGGAGUGGUGUAAUGGAUGGAUUUGGAAACAGACCAGAGAUAGGAAUGCGAUUCAUUCUGCGUAUGAAAUGAUGUGCACAAUACAUGUAGUCACUGAAUUUUUAAAAACUAAUUGCUAAGUUUCAAAGCUUUCUUUGAUAAGCAUGUUUAAAAUUUUCAUAUAAGAACAGCUAUUUUAAAAGUUAAAUAAAUAUCUAGAAGCCAAUGACGUUAUGAUUAAUACAUUCAAUUACUUUGUCAUGAAAUUAAAGUUGAAUCUCUGAGUCCACUUAUUAUUAAAGUGUUUGUUUUUCUUUAAAGAUGGUUAAAAAUAUUCUUUCUAGUUGGAGAAUGCCUAAAAACGAAAGUUUUCUUCCCUUGGGCAAGGCAUACCUUAGCAAACUGAAGUUAGGUCCUCAUCUGUAGAUUGAAACACUGGGUAACUAAAGCAGUGAUAUGUCAAACUUCUCUGGCAACUGAUUUCUCUUUAUAAGUGAAGGCUGAUUCAGAAAUGCAAUAAGUAUUGAGAAAACAUUGGGCAACCCUGCCUACAUAGUCACUGUUACCCGAUUCCAAGGCAUCAUUGCCCUUAGGACUCUUCUUGGAAUCCACACUAGUAACUCAGUUGGGAAAUCAUUAAACUACAUAAUCUAAAGUGAGGUAAAAUGUUAUCCAACUCAUUAAUGCAUAUAUACAGAGGAUAAACACACACACACACACACACACACACACACACACACAUAGUGUGUGGAUCAUUUAACACCUAAAUCAAAUGGUCAUGGAAUAAUUAUGUUUGUUUUAUCUGUUUACAAGUAGCUAAUUUACCCCCAAACUGUGGUAGCUUGAGUAAACACAGCUUACAAAAGUUUGUAAGUGAUGUAUUACAAAAGCAGUACAGAUCAAAUGACAAUUCAAAGUAGUUCUCAAACUCAUAGGUCAGCCAUGUCCUAAAUUCUUACCUUAAAACCUUGAUCAACAAUUCUUAUAAAAAUACCUUUUUCUAGCUCUAGAAUAUUAAUCUUGUCAUCACGUUACAUGUCUUAAAGAAAUUCUGAGAGGUUUCUGUGUGAUUCUAAGGUUACCUGUAAAAUGGGAAAUCUAUAAUUAUAUGCUUUGCAGUCAGCUGCUUCCUUCAGGCAACCACCUUGCAUUAAAUCUGCCAUUAAAAUAAAUUUAAAAAGUCUCCCCAGGGAUUGUUUUGCUCUCGUAAACUACUAAUCUGCUAAAUAUGUAAUUGAAUUAUUCUGUCAUCUUAGCACCAACUUCACUUUUAAAUAAAAACUCCUUGUAAAUAAGAGGACAAGCCAUAGAGCUGAGAUCAAUACAUACUUCUAUAAACCUUUCUUAAUAGUUGCUGAGUAGAAAAAAUAAAAGCAACUCUUAAAACUCUCCUUAUUUUCUUACCACUGUCUUGUCACUUAUGAUGAUGAGUGUACCUUUGUAGGAGCCUGGAAUAUAGCAAGAGAGAAAGAAAGGAACUAAGGAGCUACAAGAGAGUCAGAAAACAAUUAUCAAAAUGGCAAUAGAAGGUCAUUACUCAUCAAUAAUUACUUUAAAUGUAAAUGGAUUAGAUUAUCCAAUCGAAAGAUAGAGUGGCUGAAUGGAUAAAAGACCAAAAUUCAACUGUGUGUUGCUUAUUAAAAAACUCAUUUUAACUUGAAGAAUGCACAUAUGCUGAAAGUAAAGGAAUACAAAAAGAUGUUUUACGCAAAUGAUAACCAAAACAGACCAGGAUUGGCUAUACUAAUAUCAGGCAAAAUAGACUUUAAGCAAAAAACUGUAAAAAAAGACAAAGAAGGUCCUCAUAUAAAGAUAAUGGGGUCAAAUUACCAAAGGAUAUAACAAUUAUAAAUAUAGAUGCAUCUAACAUUUUAGCACCUAAAUGUUUUUUUUUUUUUUUUAAAUAUUAACAGAACUGAAGGGAGAAAAAAAUACAAUAACAGCGGGGGACUUCAACACUCCACUUUCAACAAUGAAUAG
rnacentral:lncRNA from 1 species